CCUACGGGUGGCAGCAGUGGGGAAUCUUUGACAAUGGGGGGAACCCUGAUCCAGCGACGCCGCGUGAGUGAAGAAGUAUUUCGGUAUGUAAAGCGCUAUCAGCAGGGAAGAAAAUGACGGUACCUGACUAAGAAGCCCCGGCUAACUACGUGCCAGCAGCCGCGGUAAUACGUAGGGCGCAAGCGUUAUCCGGAUUGACUGGGUGUAAAGGGAGCGUAGACGGUGCAGCAAGACCGAUGUGAAAGGUCGGGGUCCAACCCCCGGACUGCAUUGGAAACUGUUGAACUGGAGUACAGGAGAGGUAAGAGGAAUUCCUAGUGUAGGGGUGAAAUGCGUAGAUAUUAGGAGGAACACCAGUGGCGAAGGCGGCUUACUGGAAUGUAACUGACGCUGAGGCUCGAAAGCGUGGGGAGCAAACAGGAUUAGAUACCCCUGUAGUC
rnacentral:rRNA from 1 species